UGCACACCCAAACACAUUUAUAAUGACACUUGCAGAAUCAUACAUGUUAUAAUGUUCAUAACUAGGUCUAGUCCUUUCUAUACCUUGUUCUUUACAUGAUUUAUUAUCAACUUCCAAAAAAUCAAGACUUUACGUGUUAAUUUAACAAAGUCUUUCAUGUUUAGUCAUUAUACACAUGCUACAUUGUCAUUUGGUCUGAACUAUACAUGCUUAUGUUAGUUAAUUCAUGUAUUUC
rnacentral:lncRNA from 1 species